rnacentral:rRNA from 1 species
GCUUGCACCUUAUCUUAGCGGCGGACGGGUGAGUAAUGCUUAGGAAUCUGCCUAUUAGUGGGGGACAACAUUCCGAAAGGAAUGCUAAUACCGCAUACGUCCUACGGGAGAAAGCAGGGGAUCUUCGGACCUUGCGCUAAUAGAUGAGCCUAAGUCGGAUUAGCUAGUUGGUGGGGUAAAGGCCUACCAAGGCGACGAUCUGUAGCGGGUCUGAGAGGAUGAUCCGCCACACUGGGACUGAGACACGGCCCAGACUCCUACGGGAGGCAGCAGUGGGGAAUAUUGGACAAUGGGGGGAACCCUGAUCCAGCCAUGCCGCGUGUGUGAAGAAGGUCUUAUGGUUGUAAAGCACUUUAAGCGAGGAGGAGGCUACUGAGACUAAUACUCUUGGAUAGUGGACGUUACUCGCAGAAUAAGCACCGGCUAACUCUGUGCCAGCAGCCGCGGUAAUACAGAGGGUGCGAGCGUUAAUCGGAUUUACUGGGCGUAAAGCGUGCGUAGGCGGCUUUUUAAGUCGGAUGUGAAAUCCCCGAGCUUAACUUGGGAAUUGCAUUCGAUACUGGGAAGCUAGAGUAUGGGAGAGGAUGGUAGAAUUCCAGGUGUAGCGGUGAAAUGCGUAGAGAUCUGGAGGAAUACCGAUGGCGAAGGCAGCCAUCUGGCCUAAUACUGACGCUGAGGUACGAAAGCAUGGGGAGCAAACAGGAUUAGAUACCCUGGUAGUCCAUGCCGUAAACGAUGUCUACUA